rnacentral:tRNA from 1 species
GCCUGGGUGGCUCAGUCUGGUUGAGCGUCUGACUCCGGCUCAGGUCAUGAUCUCACAGUUUGUGGGUUUGAGCCCCGCAUCAGGCU